rnacentral:tRNA from 1 species
GGGAUAAUUGCUCAGUUGGUAGAGUGCUUGCUUUGCAUGCAAAAGGCCUUGGGUUCAAUCCCCAGCACCCCA